UACGAAGGUCCCAAGCGUUAUCCGGAUUUAUUGGGUUUAAAGGGUGCGUAGGCGGGUUAUUAAGUCAGUGGUGAAAGCCUUCAGCUUAACUGAAGAAUUGCCAUUGAUACUGAUGAUCUUGAGUAUGAUUGAGGUUGGCGGAAUGUGUCAUGUAGCGGUGAAAUGCUUAGAUAUGACACAGAACACCGAUUGCGAAGGCAGCUAACUAAGUCAUAACUGACGCUGAUGCACGAAAGCGUGGGGAGCAAACAGG
rnacentral:rRNA from 1 species